rnacentral:lncRNA from 1 species
GGAUCCACAAGCUUUCUAUUUUCGUUUAUUUUAUUAAUAAAUAAACUUAGCUGGAAAUGUUAGUCGAGUAGGAUUCGAACUUGGGAUCUCAGAUACCAAUCACCAAACUCUUUACCACUUACGCUAGGGACUGUUGAUGUUUUGAUAUUAUUGUUGAAGGUGAUCGAAUGUUUAUUUGAAGUUUUUGAGAUUGUCAAUGUAAGCUUCUUAUUACUUUGUUCUUGUUUUUGAUAGUGGUUGUGUGAUCUUCACUGUGUAUAAAUUAUAAAACUAAAGUUUCAGUUUCUAUAAAUACGAAGAAAAGGGUGUGCUCAAAUUUGAGCUGUCUCAUAUACAUACUUAUCUUUUUUUAGAAACAAGAGUUUAGUUUUGGGUUUAAGUUGCUCGUACUUCUGUUAGGUUACUUGGUAUAUAUUUGUAACAAUCUUGGUAGAAAAAUGUGCCUUUGGGAAAUUAAUCCCAAAUCAUGUUAAAAAUUGAAUGAAAAAGGAAAAUCCGUAGCUACUCUAGCUAGUGUAAGAAGAAUGCAAAGUUUGUGUUUGUCUCUAGCUAGCUGUGAAGAGAAUUCAAAGUUGGCAUUUGUCUUGCCUAGCUUUUCAAAAAAUUAAAUACCUUCUAGUGCCAUAGUAUUUUAUAAACAAAAAAUAUAGUAAUGUCUUUGCUAUAUUAUAUGGACGUGACAUUUUAGGUUCUAAAAGUAAAAGCUCUAUUCUGUAGCUCGGUUAUGAGAUUUUUUUUUUUUUUGAAAAAGUUGUAGUGGUAAAUAGUUAUUUCUUUUUAUAACUUAAUAAUCUUGGGAGGUCGAAAAUAAAUAUAAAGAAAUUAAUUACACGAGACAAGAAGCUAAGGCUUGAAAAUAUCUAUCUUUCUUUGUUUCUAAAAUAAAAACUCUAUAUGAUUGGAUAUGUCAAAAAGUAAAUGCCAUGACCCAAACCUUCUUCAUUUAGGUUGUGACCGCCAUGCUUUCAUAUGAUUAAAGUCUGAAAUUCAAAUUUGAAUCAUAUGAAAAUGCAAUGUUUAAGGAAAAAAAAUAGCACCUAGUAGUGAGUUAUUCUAACGAGAGAAACUUAUAAAAGUGAUCCACACUUGUAACCUUGAGUGAUCUUAAUUAUGUGAUGAAAAAGUUGGUAUAAUCGUCUUGUUGCUUACUUAUCAAAGCAUCCUACGUACGGUGAAUAUAUAUCCAAUAUCUCUGGGCUUGAGGAGUUGGCGGGAACGUAGGCAGAGUGCUGAAUAUCGAAAAAAGUCGAUCGCAUGCUUACAUUUGAAUUUAUAAAGAAAAUUAAGUUCAAACAUUCAAAUGUAUAAACUUUAGAAUUAGAAAAUAGGAUAAGAGGGUUGCGGACUCACAGUGAACUUCUUUAUACUAGCUUGGAAUUAAUGCAAUUAAUUUGGUCCGAUAUUAAAAGGUAUCUUCAUUAAAAAAAAAAAAAAAAUCCAACAAAGGGAAAAAGAUUACUGCUUUCGUGAAUAAAGUUGUUCUUCGAUUAUCAUUUCAACUAAAAAUAAUAAUUUUGUCACUAAGUACUAUCUUUUAUGGUUCGAUGCAAUUCAAUUUUAUCGGCCAGAGAUGCAGCUGUUAUAUGAAACCUUUCUUGAAAAGAACACUUUAAUUCAUUUUCAUUUUCUUCAGCUGCGAUGUGAGGGGCACCUUUUUUUCUACUGCUGAAAUUUGCGUCGUUGAUGAAGAAAUCUAAUCUUAGGAAGCAAUUUUUCUUCAGCCGCGAGGUGCGGAAUACCCCUUUUUUCUUUUUUUUUUUUUUUUUUUUUUUUUUUUUUUUUUUUUUUUUCCUACUGCUGAAAAUUGUGUUGUUGGAGGGAUUUGUGACAGAGAUUGGUAAAAAAACACAUGCAGUGAAUUUUCAUGCAUAUAUUUUUGUUCAAAGGGCGUGCCAAUGAAGAAUGUUCUACCAGUUACUUGUCGUCAUUGGGCGAAACUACUUACUCUAAUAGCACGUUUGGUUCAAAAUAGGAAUCGAAAUUAAAAUAAGUUGAGCUGAAAUGCUGAUCAAUAGCAAACAGGCUGCAUUAUUACCGAUUUAUUUUUCGAUAAUGAAGUCUUCAAAUCAACGAUCGGCACUGUUGAACAUGAUUUACCACUUUAUAUUUUUAGAAACUAAAUUUUAAACCUUUUUGAUAUCAUUGACCUAAUGAUAAAAAAAUUGCAGAUUUUGUAAUUUUAAUGGUCGAUAUAAGAUGUUUUCAAAUUUAACAGCGUAAAGGUAUCUAAAUUAAUCGAAUUUUGAUUAGAAAAUUUCUUAAACCAUUUAAAACAAGAUUUAUACUCUUAAUCUUGAUUACAAGACUUCUAUCAUUAACAUUUUAAGAAUACUCAUUUUCAGCUAUUCAUUUUUGUGACCACUUGAUGGAUAAUAGAAUAAUAUCAAAAAAAUAGAAAAUUUGAUUUUUAGAUAGUUUAAAUGGAUUACGUCAUAUUUAAUAGUGUUAAUCGUCAAUUUGAAAGUUUCAUCAUCAAAAACAAAUGAUAACAACGGAUAGUAUCCCGGCUUAACUACGACCCGAAUCUCAAGCACCCCAAACUCCUUAUCCCCUUGCAGGCUACAUAUUUCGUAACAAAAAGUGUACAAAGCAAACACCAAGGAUUAAAGUGCCCAUCGGCACAGACCGUAUCUACUGUAUCGUAUCGUGCCAGUAAGAUAUUGGCAUGAUACAGUUCUUGUACCGAUGGCACAAUUCAAAACCCUCUAUUCUUGAAAUUACUAGGUAAUUUUCUCAAUAAAGUUAAAAAAAUUGAUAAAAUUACAUAAUAAAUAUUUGGCAUAUUUUUUUACUAAAAAAAAUAAAUAUUUCAUGCCAUUAUGUGUCGGUAUAUAUAUAUUUUUUGUGACCGAUACGCAUCGACACGACCUAGCACGCAUCGGGCCGUAUCGUGCCGGCAAGUUUCGGCACAACCCGUGCGACGAUACUUAAAUUCUUAACAAACAAUUUUUUAGAUUCACUUUGGGAUCUUACAUUCAGUAUAACAAUAAAAAUAGAAAAGUCUUUGACUUUUAUCGCUUGGUUUGGAAUCAUUUCAAGGAUUCAUAGAUAGCAAUCAGAAAAUAUUAGGAUGGAUGCAUUAGACGGGCACCUUCAUUAACUUAUUUCUUUUUCCAUUUUAUUUGAUAUAAUAGUAGAGCUAUUCCAGUCAAAUUGUCUAAAAUUUCAUUUCUUUCAUAAAGAAAACUUCAAUGCAUAUUUUAUUAAAAGGGUUAAUUUCAUACAAGUUCCUACAAAAAUAGUGGAUGAUAAAUAUAUUACUACAAAAUUCAACUUUUAUAUAUUAUCACUACAAAUGUCCUGAUGUUUUCAAAUAUGUCUCUUUAGUUUGUUAUCGUUAGACAACUGUUUAUAUUUUUAAUUUUCGCCAUCACAAAUAUGUUUCUCUGAAGGUCACAACAGUUUAAUGUAAAAGGGGUAAAAAUAUCAAAAACUAACCAGAGUUUAGUAUUUAACCUAUGGAGGUCGGCGAGUGUCUAUGCUUCUUCAAGUACCAGUUCUUUGCAUAGUCUGUUCCACUUUAGCCGCUUUCAAAAGUCCAGUGUCUUGUUUUUCUCUUCCAGAAGAGUUACGAAGGAGAUGGCGAGGUCAAGCAGCGAUACUACGUAUAACUAAACGACAGAGAUAUAUUUGAAAAUAUCAAGGCUUUUGUAAGGAUAGCAUAUGAAAGUUGAAAUUUGUAGAGAUAUAUUUACCAUUCACUAUAUUUGUAGGGACCUGUAUGCAAUUAACCUUUUAUUAAAAUGAUUGAAUCAACUUGGAAGCUACCCAAGCUAUAUAUAGCUUAAAAUAUCCUUCUGCAUGUUACAUACUCCCCAAAAUUCUAAUUUUCAAUUAUUAUAAAAUUAUAAUUUUUUAAAAAAAUUUAAAUUCAAAGGGAUAGAUUUACAAACCUUGAAUUUUAUUAUUAAAAUUCAGAAAAAAUAAAAUUAAAUCUAAGGGAUAAGACCACAGGCCAUGAAUUUAGAAUUGUAAUCCUUUGAUUUUUUUUUUUUUUUUUUUUUUUCAGAUUGUAGACUUAUUAGCAUUUCUCAUAUUUUAAUAUUCAUGUCAAGCAAUUUUUUUUUAUUGGAGCAAUUGCUUAUAUACUCCUAAAAAGUUUCAGACUUUAUUAUUUAUCUCUAAGGUUAAUAUAAAAAAUACAUUUUUAAUGAGUUAAAUUAUGUUAGUGAAUUAUUAGUAACAAUCGUCAUUUCUGUAAAAUUAAUAUUUUACCCUUCCAAAUAUAUCUUUUUAUCAUGAUCAACUUUUUUUAUUUGUCCUUAAAUUUAGGGUAAAGAA